rnacentral:tRNA from 1 species
GCCUCGGUAGCUCAGUUGGUAGAGCGCUUGGCUGUUAACCAAGUGGUCACAGGUUCAAGUCCUGUCCGAGGCG